CUAGUUUUGGUUUCUUUUACCGUUUGCCUUCUCGUAAUUUUGGAGUAUUUUUCACAUUCUGUCUAGAUAGAGAAAUGACCUGGAGGAAAAAAAAAUCCAUGGUGGGUAUCUUUUCUAGACUUCUUUUUUCUGUUAGUAGCAGGUAGUGUAUGUAAGAUUUGAGUGUUUCUGGAAGUUUAUAUACACUAUAAGUCGAAAAUAGUAGAUGACCAUUUGGGCCAUUUUGCCUACUCCUACUUGCUCGAAUAUGCUAACGCUAUGUUUGACCCAUAUUUUACUCCCUCCGUACCAAAGUACUUGUCGCCAACAGACAAAAAUUAGUACACAAAGUUAAUUUUACAUUCAGACCCUCCAGAUUUCAAAAAGUUCUCAGGCCGCACCCUCCGCCUCCCCCAGCUCUGCCUCCCCAUAGCGCGAUGCCUUUGCCUCCCUACCGGGCUGCUGCGCUCCAGGCCGUGAACCAGGCUGCUGCGCUCCAGGCCGUGAACCAGGCGCCGGCGAGCAGGCAGGCCGCGAUCCAGUGUACUAGAUCCACGCCGGCGCUCUUCUGCUGAGGAGGAUGCAUAUCAUGAUCUUGAGUUAAAUCAAGAAGAGGAUGCACAUGUUGAUGCAAAUGAAGAUCAUGAUCAUGAGUUAAAUCAAGAAGAGGAAGAUACAUUUGUCAAAAAGAAGAAGAAGAGGAAGAUGCACAUGCACAUGUUGAUGCAAAUCAAGAUCAUGCAGGCAACUUGAGUACACAACCAGAGAUUUUUUUUUCUCUUUGAAAUGGCAGUUAUCCUGUAUUCAGUAAGAAGAAAAGAGUUGCUCGGCUAAUUUCGGAAAACCGAGCAAAAAACAGAUUGCCAGUUAAUUAUGGAGAACCGGACAAAAACCAUCACAACCAUUGAUCAGUACACAUAAGAUACCCCCCACACACCACUCGAGAGAGGGUCUCGUCAAGACAGCACACAUGCAUCAUCGUCAUCACUCCUCCCCUAGAUUUGUGAACUUGCUCCAUGUGUUGCAGGUGUUGAUCAGCCAAUAAGAAGAGAACUGCCAUAUGAUCAUAGAUUUGUGCUUACGUCGCUGGAAGCACUGACCAAAGAUAGAGAAAUUGAGAAAAAGGACAAAGAGCUUGUUGCUAACCUUUUGCAUACAAGUCUUGGAACUGUUGAGAGAAUAUGGAAACAAGCACAUGAUCAGAUUGCAAAAGGUCAAGAAGCCGACGUUUCUAACAUAAAAAAGAGUAGGUCACAAGGUCUAGGAUGUCUAUAAUCCCGCUAAAUAGAUGAAGACACUCGGAGCUCUUUCUAGGUCUCCGGAUGUUAGCUGCAUAACAUUGCACACAAUGUUCAAGUGGGGCAAGCUAAAGCAUCACACGAGCAGCUUUAAAGUCUUUACUCAAGCCAGCUAACAAGAUAGCCACACUCAAGAUUUGCAUUUUCAUGUUGGAUGAAACAACAUUGGAAAAUGUCAGGUCUAGCUUGACAUGAGCAGGAUUGUACACAUUGAUGAGAAGUGGUUUGAUAUGUCAAAAAGAAAGUGCACCUAUUAUCUCCUUUCUGAACAAGAAGGCCCUUUGUGGAUUGUUCAAAAUAAGAACAAUAUAGGGAAGGUCAUGUUCCUAACAACAAUUGUCAAACCCACAUAUGGUGAAGAUGGUUUUAUAAUCUUUGAUUGUAAAAGUUAGAGUUUGGGCCUUUGUGAAAGAAACUCGAGAUGCUUGAAGAAGUCAAUAAGGGAAAGGGGUCUUUGGAACUCAAGUCAGCUACUAAUAUACAUCUCAAAUGUAUCUAUAAUUUUUUAUUUCUUCAUGCUAUUAUAAUAUCACUUUCGAAUAUUUUUAUAGUAAUUUUUCUGGACUAACCUAUUAAUUCAGUGCACAUUGUCAGUUGUUGUUUUCUGCAUGUUUUCAUCUUUUCAGAAAAUCCAUAUCUACGGUGGUUAAAAAAACCAGGGAUUUAAUAUGACUUUUUCCAAGACACGAAGAGUCUAGAAAGUGUCGAAAGCUGCCGAGGGGCCCACCCGCGUGGUUAGGCCGUGUGGGCCCCAUGGGCACCGCCUUACGUUGUUUCUUCCACCCAUAAAUCCUACUCCCUCCGCCCCUCAACUUUAGUACAACUGCUGGGGAACGCGGUAAUUUCAAAAAAAAUUCCUACGAUCACGCAAGAUCUAUCUAGGUGAUGCAUAGCAACGAGGGGGAGAGUGUGUCCACAUACCCUCGUAGACCAAAAGCGGAAGCGUUAAGUAACGCGGUUGAUGUAGUCGAACGUCUUCGCGAUCCAACCGAACGCACGACACCUCCGCGAUCUGCACACGUUCAGCUCGGUGACGUCCCUCGAACUCUAGAUCCAGCUGAGGCCGAGGGAGAGUUCCGUCAGCACAACGGCUUGAUGACGAUGAUGAUGAAGUUACCGGCGCAGGGCUUCGCCUAAGCACUACGACGAUAUAACCGAGGUGGAAAUCUGUGGAGGGGGGCACCGCACACGGCUAAAAGAUCAACCUCAUCAACUUGUGUAUCUAUGGGGUGUCCCCCUCCCCCGUAUAUAAAGGAGGAGAGGAGGGGGCCGGCCGGCCUCAAGGGGUGCGCCCAAGGGGGGGAGUCCUACUCCAAGUAGGAGUAGGUUCCCCCCUUUCCUAGUCCAACUAGGAGGAGAAGGAAGGGGAAGGAGAGAAGGAAAGGGGGGCCGCCCCCCCUAGUCCAAUUCAGUUUGGGCUGGGGCGCGCCACACCUUGGCCUGGCUCCUCUCUUCCACCACUUGGCCCAUGAGGCCCAUUAACCCCCCGGGGGGUUCUGGUAACCCUCCGGUACUCCGGUUUUAUCCGAAACUUCUCCGGAACACUUCCGGUGUCCGAAUAUAGCCGUCCAAUAUAUCAAUCUUUAUGUCUCAACCAUUUCGAGACUCCUCGUCAUGUCCGUGAUCUCAUCCGGGACUCCGAACAACCUUCUGUACAUCAAAUCACAUAAACUCAUAAUACCAAUCGUCAUCGAACGUUAAGCGUGCGGACCCUACAGGUUCAAGAACUAUGUAGACAUGACCGAGACACGUGUCUGGUCAAUAACCAAUAGCGGAACCUAGAUGCUCAUAUUGGUUCCUACAUAUUCUAUGAAGAUCUUUAUCGGUCAAACCGCAUAACAACAUACGUUGUUCCCUUUGUCAUCGGUAUGUUACUUGACCAAGACUCGAUCGUCGGUAUCAUCAUACCUAGUUCAAUCUCGUUACCGGCAAGUCUCUUUACUCGUUCCGUAAUACUCCAUCCUGCAACUAACUCAUUAGUCACAAUGAUUGCAAGGCUUAUAGUGAUGAGUAUUACCGAGAGGGCCCAGAGAUACCUCUCCGAAACACGAAGUGACAAAUCCUAAUCUCGAUCUAUGCCAACCCAACAAACACCUUCGGAGACACCUGUAGAGCACCUUUAUAAUCACCCAUUUAUGUUGUGACGUCUGGUAGCACACAAAGUGUUCCUCCGGUAUUCGGGAGUUGCAUAAUCUCAUAGUCUGAGGAACUUGUAUAAGUCAUGAACAAAGCAGUAGCAAUGAAACUGACAUGAUCAUAAUGCUAAGCUAACGGAUGGGUCAUGUCCAUCACAUCAUUCUCCUAAUGAUGUGAUCCCAUUCAUCAAAUGACAACACAUGUAUAUGGUUAGGAAACAUAACCAUCUUUGAUUAAUGAGCUAGUCAAGUAGAGGCAUACUAGGGACAAUAUGUUUUGUCUAUGUAUUCACACAUGUAAGCAUGAAUAAUAAACAUUUAUCAUGAAAUAAGGAAAUAAAUAAUAACUUUAUUAUUGCCUCUAGGGCAUAUUUCCUUCAACAACUUUGUAUUAAAGUGAGUACAAAGUUGAGGCACUUAUUUUUGGACGAAGGGAGUAUAUUUCAAGAAACCCUUAGCAACAUUUUUUUCAUGAUUUCUUCUGCCAUCGCAAGUUUUCGUUCUGAGGAAAUCCAACCUGGAGACCUAUUCCAGCACCCUGCCGUAGGUGGAAUCCAUCAUCAGAGCCAUCUUCAUGAACCUUGUUGGUUCAUGUGUGAAUAGUUUCCUUAGUACCUUAAGGUCCAUGUAAGUAGCUAGAUGACUAUCACGCCCAAUAUGCGACCCUAUCCAAAAGGAACUCGAAGGUCCCACCAAGGAUAGACCCGCAUAUUGAGACACUUUUGCAAGGUGGAUAUCAUUACAUCAACAUUACAUAAUAGAUGGGGAUACAUACAUAAGGCAUACAAUGCCGCACGAAUACAACAUCAUAAUACAUCAGAGCACCAUCCGACUACGAAUGAAACACAAACAGAAACUCAAACGACAUCCACCCUGCUAGCCCAGGCUGCCGACCUGGAACCUAUCCCCUGAUCGAAGAAGAAGCAGAAGAACUCCAAAACAAGUAAGCAUCGCUCUCGCGUCAUGAUCAUCGCACAACCUGUACCUGCAACUGUUGUUGUAGUAAUCUGUGAGCCACGAGGACUCAGCAAUCCCAUUACCAUGGGUAUCAAGACUAGCAAAGCUUAAUGGGAAAGGAAGGGGUAAAGUGGUGAGGUUGCAGCAGCGACUAAGCAUAUAUGGUGGCUAACAUACGCAAAAGAGAGCGAGAAGAGAAACAAGCGGAACGGUCGUCAACUAGUAAUGAUCAAGAGGUGAUCCUGAACUCCUACUUACGUCAAUCAUAACACAGAAAACCGUGUUCACUUCCCGGACUCCGCCGAGAAGAGACCAUCACGGCUACACACACAAUUGAUGCGUUUUAAUUCGGAUCUGGUGUCAAGUUAUGUACAACCGGACAUUAACAAAUUCCCAUCUGCCACAUAACCGCGGGCACGGCUCUCGAAAGUUUAUACCCUGCAGGGGUGUCCCAACUUAGCCCAUGACAAGUUCUCGCGAUCAACGAAGGAAUAGACCUUCUCCCAGGCAGACCCGAUCAGUCUCGGAAUCCCGGUUUACAAGACAUUUCGACAAUGGUAAAACAAGACCAGCAAGACCGCCCGAUGCGCCGACAUCCCGAUAGGAGCUGCACAUAUCUCGUUCUCGGGGCAACACCGGAUAAGCUAAGCGUACAGGUACCGACGUAACCCAAGUUGCCAAGGGAUGGUCCCGCACGGUGCUCUAGUUUGGACCAACACUUAGACAAGCAUUGGCCCGGGGGGCUAUAAUAAAGAUGACCCUUGGGUUAAUUACUCCCAAGAGAAAAGUAGGUGGUGGUGAGGCAAAUGGUAAAACCAAGGUUGGGCCUUGCUGGAGGAGUUUUAUUCAAAGCGAACUGUCAGGGGGGUCCCAUAAAUCACCCGACCGCGUUAGGAACGCAAAAUCCGGGAACAUAACACCGGUAUGACGGAAACUAGGGCGGCAAGAGUGGAACAAAACACCAGGCAUAAGGCCGAGCCUUCCACCCUUUACCAAAUAUAUAGAUGCAUUAAUAAUAUAAGAGAUAUUGUGAUAUCCCAACAUAACCCUGUCCACCAUGGAGAAAUCUUCAACUUCACCUGCAGCUAGCAACGCUAUAAGAGGGGCUGAGCAAAGCGGGAACAUAGCCAAACAACGGUUUGCUAGGAAGGGUGUCAAAGGUUAGAGGUUCAUAGCAAUUUGGGGAGGCUUGAAGAGCAAAAGAUAGGUAGCGCAGCACAGCGAUAGAACGAAGCAACUAGCAUCGCAAUGAUAGUAGUGAGAUCCAGGGUAGCGGUCAUCUUGCCUGAAAUCCCGCAAGGAAGAAGAACGAGUCCAUGAAGAAGACGAACGGAUGAAGCCGAACCAACCGUAGACGAACGAAUCCUCACGAUCGCAACGAAACAGGAACUAACAAGAAGAAGCACACAACAUGGUAAACACACCACACAUGAACAAGGCAUGAUGCACAACAAGCAUGAUGCAUGACCAAGCUACAUGAAGCUACUCAUGGCAAGAGAUGAUGCAAACAAGAACAACACGUCAAGGCAAGUUUAAAUGAGGCCGGAAACAACAUAUAACAAUUCCGGUAAGUCCUCAUAUGCAUAUUUCAAAAUUGGUCCAGAACUGAAUAAACAUUAAGUUGAAGUUGUUAAACAGUAAGUUAAAGAGCACCAAGAGGAUCUACACAAAAUUCUAGUCAAGUUACAUAUAAAGUUCAUUUAAUUCGGAGCUACGGCCUAGAAGAUAUGAGCAAAACAAGUCAAACAUGGCAUUGAUGCAAAAUGCAUACAAACAUCAAACAAACACCUCAAAACAAGGAUGCAACAUGAUAAUAUGGAACUACAUGCAAUUCUAAGCAAGUUUCAUAUAGAGCACACUCAAAACGGAGCAACGGUUCAACAAUCUGUCCAAAACAGCAACUAGGCAUAUUGCAAGCACCAAAACAACAAGCUACAACAUCUCAACAUAAUAACAAAAGGCACGGGCAUGAAGUACAGGUAAAGCAUAACAAAACAUGAACACUGAGCUACCUCCAGAAACAACUAGAACAUGCUCAAAAAGACAUGGAAAGUUUGCAAAUAAUAACAGUUUCAGACUUAUCAGGAAAUAACAUCAGGUUGCAAUGUUUAGAGCUAUCAAACAACAUGUUACAGGAACUUAUCAUGGAAAACAAAGGCAUGGCAUGAAUCUACUAAUUGCAUAGAACAAAAGUCCCUUACUGACCAUGAGCCAAAAAGGACCAGAAAAUAUGAUGGCACCCAUGUAAACAUGGCAAGUUAUAUUACAGAUUCAAACAUGGCAGGAACAACAAUAAGUAGGCAUGUUGGUGAGCUUGAACCACUCACCACAGAGCAAUACAUGGCAUGUCAAGGCAACCAACAGCAAGAAGGCAUGUUUAUGAAGCUAAGCAUGGCAAGAUCAAGGUCAUAGGGUGCAUGGAUCACUAGAAAAGCAUAUGGCCAAAACUGAACUUAAUGUAAACAGGCUGACAGCAACAUUAUUUAGCAACUUUGGAGCAAGAUUACAAUAAGCUACAGUAGUCUAUAAAUGCAACCAGGGGCAUGAAUGGAUAGAGCAAGACAUGUAUAACAAUUCAUCCUUAGUGAACAUCUCCAGAUUAUGCAUAGAAUAACUUGUGGAAGCAGGUUUACAUAGCAUCAAAACAUAACAGAAUCUGACAGGAAAACAACAACAGCAAGUACUCUCCUUAACAAGCUUGAUGCACUCACUACACAAGUCACAAAAAUACAUGGAUUGCACCUCUGAAAAGAUGGCAUUGCAUAGAUCAAAACACAUUUAGAUCUCAACCUCAUAGGAUGCACACAUCAAACAUGGCAAAAAUGACAAAUGAGCAUGUUAUAACAGUUCCAGCAGAUUAACAUCAACAUGCACUCUUCCAACAGCAUUUCGGGCAUCAAGAUGAGCUCAAAUGAAAAUGAUGAAAUGAGAUGAAAUGAAGUACUCGUUGAGACGAACAAUUUGACAUAUCACACGCACGGAACGGAGCUACAAGUGCAGAGAUGUGAUGCGAUGAACAUGGCAUGCUUAUGCAAAAAUCCUGAGCACUUAGUGGAAUUCGGGGUCAACCUCGUGGAUCCAGAUCUGGGCGCGGAUCGAGGCGGGGCCGGGCUCGCCGGAGCUGGGCGGCGCCGGCGACGAGGGAGGAGGCCGGAGAGGGCACCGGUGGCCGGGGUCGGGGCNNNNNNNNNNNNNNNNNNNNNNNNNNNNNNNNNNNNNNNNNNNNNNNNNNNNNNNNNNNNNNNNNNNNNNNNNNNNNNNNNNNNNNNNNNNNNNNNNNNNNNNNNNNNNNNNNNNNNNNNNNNNNNNNNNNNNNNNNNNNNNNNNNNNNNNNNNNNNNNNNNNNNNNNNNNNNNNNNNNNNNNNNNNNNNNNNNNNNNNNNNNNNNNNNNNNNNNNNNNNNNNNNNNNNNNNNNNNNNNNNNNNNNNNNNNNNNNNNNNNNNNNNNNNNNNNNNNNNNNNNNNNNNNNGGAGGAGGAGAGAGACGGCGGCGGCCACGUGGCAGCGUGCCACUGGCUGCGGGCGGCUGCGGGGUGACGUGGCGUCCUCCGAUUCGUCGGAGCGACGUGGCGGCGGCGGUGGACACGUCCGGUGCGGAGGCGGACAUGUCCGGCGGCGGCGGGGAAGAGGCUAGGCUAGGGUUUCAUCCGCGAAAAUGGAAGGGGAGGGCCUAUUUAUAGGUAGAGGGAGUUAGGAGAGUCCAAAUGAGGUGCGGUUUUCGGCCACGCGAUCGUAAUCGGACGACCGAGAGCAUGGAGGGGAGUUAGAUGGGUUUUGGGCCAGUUUGGAAGGGGUGUUGGGCUGCAACAAAAGAGGCCUUUUACGGUUACCCGGUUGACCGUUAGAGUAUCAAACGGACUCCAAAUGGCACGAAACUUGACAGGCGGUCUACCGGUGCUAUACCAAGGCCGCUUGGAAAACCUCGGGCCAUUCCGAGAACGUUUAACACCCACACAAGAUAAGAGGUCAAAAGGGACCGCCGGAUGACAUAGGAGUGCCGGAUUGCAAAACGGACAACGGGGAAAAUGCUCGGAUGCAUGAGACGAACACGUAUGCAAUGCAAUGCACAUGAUGACAUGAUAUGAAAUGCAGAUGAUGACAUGGCAAAGUGCAACACGCAAGCACAUGACACGACAAUGACGGCGAAUAACUGGAAGACACCUGGCGCAUCGAAUCCGGGGCGUUACAACACUCCUCCACUAACAAGAGAUCUCGUCCCGAGAUCUUAGGACCAAGACGGAAGGGAAAAGAGAUGAGGCGAAACAAGAACUCAAGAGAAGAAGCAAAGAAUCGAGAGCACUUGAGAAGAAGAGAUGAACGACGAGAAUGACGAGAAUCAAGAGCUCACGGAAUCAGAUAGACUAUGAAACCAGUCGUUCUAACCGGAGUGGUUAGAAUGAGAAAAGAAACGAAUAAGACUGAAAGGAUUUAGGCAGCACUCCAGCUGAAAAUGGGAGGAUUAGAACGAACUUUAGAGGAUGGAAUGAUACUUGAUGAAGACAUGACAAAAAACCUCCGGAAAGAAUUGAAAGAGUUGAAUGAAAAGAACGGAGAAGAAAAUGACAACUUGUGCCACGAAUGAAAUUGAAAGCAUCUUUAGAAGAAAGGUUGAACGGAGUUGUUGAGAAAAACAACAACGAAAAGAAUAAGCUUGUUGUGGACUUAUGGAUAACAUCUCAAAAUUAUGAAGUGAUCUCCGACCACAAGCGGAAAAGAUUAAAUAGCUGAGAAGAAUGUAGAAAUGCAAAACCCCACCUCGAAAGAAUACGGAGAAUUAAUUGCACUUCAAGAUGCAAGAGGAAAAGAUACUAGAACUCCUUGAACAAGAAUCUUGAUGAACUCUUGAAAGAAUGAAUUAAAUCAUGAAGAACUCCGGUGACAAAAGGAUGAUGAGAUAGAAUGAAGGAUGAAAGAAUAAGAUGAGCUUUGCGAUGAUUUAGAUGAAGGUUCCGACGAAAUGGUCGAGGAAAUUUGAACUCCGGAGAAGAAAAGAUGAAAAUACUUGGAACUAGAAUUUAUUCCUCAAGAACAAACUCCGAAGAAAAGGGAUUACUCACUUGGAUGAAAUAAGAAUAAGAUUUAUUGUAUGUUUAUCCUUCAUCAAAUUAAAUUGAUGACAAGCAAUGGAUUUUCCAUACUACUUAUUCUUCUUGAAAAGGAUUGAGAAGUGACAUAUCGUAAACUUGAGAAGGUCUUCAUGAAUCACCGGUAGGAUUGAAAAGAACGAAUGGAUUAAAAAUGAUAAUCAAGGAAUAAGAAUCUUGAACGAACCACCGGAAGAAUUCGAAAAUGACUGAUGAAAGAGGAAUGAAUCGCCGGGAAGAAUUAGAAGAACCAAUAUGCUCGAGGGGAUUUAGAUGCAAAAGAACAAAGAGAUCAUGAGCUGAUUAAAGAACACUUGAACGAAGCACCGGCAGAAUAUUGAGACGAACAAAAGGGCACAGAUAUAGAAUAAUUGGAGAACGAAUCUGAAAACUUAGAAUGAAGAAAUCUUCCGAAAAGAUGGCCUCCGGAUGAUCGAGAGAGAAAGCAACUCCUGAAAUGCUCCGGAUGGUUGAAAAGAAUUUGCAUGACUUGAAACAAUUUGAUAGGAUAACAUCGAGCUAGCGCCACGAAUCUUCGAGAGAAGAAACAAGCUUUAGAGGAGAAACUCUUCUUCGGUCUUCGAAUGACGACGAGAAACACCGCCAAAAUUACUGAGAUACUCCGGGAGAACAAAAAAAAAA
rnacentral:lncRNA from 1 species